UACGGAGGGUGCAAGCGUUAUCCGGAUUCACUGGGUUUAAAGGGUGCGUAGGCGGAUUAAAAAGUCCGUUGUGAAAUCUCUGAGCUUAACUCGGAAAUUGCGGUGGAUACUAUUAGUCUUGAAUACUGUGGAGGUUAGCGGAAUAUGUCAUGUAGCGGUGAAAUGCAUAGAUAUGACAUAGAACACCAAUUGCGAAGGCAGCUGGCUACACAGAUAUUGACGCUGAGGCACGAAAGCGUGGGGAUCAAACAGG
rnacentral:rRNA from 1 species